rnacentral:rRNA from 1 species
GACGAACGCUGGCGGCGUGCUUAACACAUGCAAGUCGAACGAAGAGCGAUGGAAGCUUGCUUCUAUCAAUCUUAGUGGCGAACGGGUGAGUAACGCGUAAUCAACCUGCCCUUCAGAGGGGGACAGCAGUUGGAAACGACUGCUAAUACCGCAUACGAUCUAAUCUCGGCAUCGAGGAUAGAUGAAAGGUGGCCUCUACAUGUAAGCUAUCACUGAAGGAGGGGAUUGCGUCUGAUUAGCUAGUUGGAGGGGUAACGGCCCACCAAGGCGAUGAUCAGUAGCCGGUCUGAGAGGAUGGACGGCCACAUUGGGACUGAGACACGGCCCAGACUCCUACGGGAGGCAGCAGUGGGGAAUCUUCCGCAAUGGACGAAAGUCUGACGGAGCAACGCCGCGUGAGUGAUGACGGCCUUCGGGUUGUAAAGCUCUGUUAAUCGGGACGAAAGGCCUUCUUGCGAAUAGUGAGAAGGAUUGACGGUACCGGAAUAGAAAGCCACGGCUAACUACGUG